rnacentral:rRNA from 1 species
CCUACGGGUGGCUGCAGUGGGGAAUUUUGGACAAUGGGCGCAAGCCUGAUCCAGCCAUGCCGCGUGAGUGAAGAAGGCCUUCGGGUUGUAAAGCUCUUUCGGACGGAAAGAAAUCGCACUGGCUAAUACCCUGUGUGGAUGACGGUACCGUAAGAAGAAGCACCGGCUAACUACGUGCCAGCAGCCGCGGUAAUACGUAGGGUGCGAGCGUUAAUCGGAAUUACUGGGCGUAAAGCGUGCGCAGGCGGUUUUGUAAGACAGAUGUGAAAUCCCCGGGCUUAACCUGGGAACUGCAUUUGUGACUGCAAGGCUAGAGUGUGGCAGAGGGGGGUGGAAUUCCACGUGUAGCAGUGAAAUGCGUAGAGAUGUGGAGGAACACCGAUGGCGAAGGCAGCCCCCUGGGCCAACACUGACGCUCAUGCACGAAAGCGUGGGGAGCAAACAGGAUUAGAUACCCUUGUAGUC